UAGAUACCGCACCUCCCUUUCUGUCUGUGC
rnacentral:piRNA from 1 species